GAAAUGCGAUAAGUAAUGUGAAUUGCAGAAUUCAGUGAAUCAUCGAAUCUUUGAACGCAGCUUGCGCUCCUUGGUAUUCCUUGCAGCAUGCCUGUUUGAGUAUCAUGAAAUCUUCAAAGUAAAUCUUUUGUUAACUCAAUUGGUUUCUACUUUGGUAUUGGAGGUCUUUGCAGCUUCACACCUGCUCCUCUUUGUUCAUUAGCUGGAUCUCAGUGUUAUGCUUGGUUCCACUCGGCGUGAUAAGUUAUCUAUCGCUGAGGACACUGUAAAAGGUGGCCAAGGUAAAUGCAGAUGAACCGCUUCUAAUAGUCCAUUGACUUGGACAAUACUUUUAUGAUCUGAUCUCAAAUCAGGUAGGACUACCCGCUGAACUUAAGC
rnacentral:misc_RNA from 1 species